GAUGAAGAACGUAGCGAAAUGCGAUAAGUAAUGUGAGUUGCAGAAUUCAGUGAAUCAUCGAAUCUUUGAACGCACAUUGCGCCCGCCAGUAUUCUGGCGGGCAUGCCUGUUCGAGCGUCAUUACAACCCUCAGGCCCCCGGGCCUGGCGUUGGGGAUCGGCGGAGCCCCCCGUGGGCACACGCCGUCCCCCAAAUGCAGUGGCGGUCCCGCCGCAGCUUCCAUCGCGUAGUAGCUAACACCUCGCGACUGGAGAGCGGCGCGGCCACGCCGUAAAACACCCAACUCUUCUGAAGUUGACCUCGAAUCAGGUAGGAAUACCCGCUGAACUUAAGCAUAUCAAUAAGCGGAGGA
rnacentral:misc_RNA from 1 species